CACAAUCUCAAAUAAUUUACCACAAAUUAACUAAUUUAUUAGUCACAGACAAUCAAAUAAUCGCCAUUCCACCCACAACCUCUGCCAUGAUCACCACCACCACCAUUGACCAGCACUGCCAACAUAACCACUACCUCACCACCGCAUCUAACAUCACAACCACCACCAUCCAAACACCACCAAAAAAAAUCAAAUCCAUUAUCAUCCAUCACCAGACCACCACCGCUACCUCUAGCACCAUCACCAUUUCAAACUACGACCAACCACCCAAGAAGCUUCAACACUUUUACCUAGAUAGCGCAACAAUAGUUGCAAAAAGGCGCUUACACAGUGCGCAACGUGGCUAAAAACCAUCGUCGUCCACCGCCAUCGCAACACUACUACCAACAACCACAAUUUACAACUACAAAACCACCACACAACAAAGUAAAAUUGCAAUGCAGAAUUCAAAGAAGACGGUCUCCAUAACGUCCUUCACGACGACAGUAACCUCUACAACAUCCAUCUCUAUAACCUCCCUCAUUAUGUCUCUCGCAAAAUCCACCACCUCCGUCUCGCGCGCUUCGCGUGGCCCUGGGGUUUUGAUUUGUCGAGUUGCUGCACCAGUGUUGGAUCUGUAGGGUUGUCGACAACAGUAGAAGGGAUAGGACAGUGGGCGACGAUGAGUUGUAGGUGGAAAAAGGGCGACGGUGGGGGAUCUACUUGCAACCAUACUAUAUAUAACUAUGUUGCGUUCGUCAAUUGUGCAUCACUGCAAGAGGAGCGGACUAACGUCUAAAAUUGAGGGAAUGGGUGCGUAGAUAGAGGUACAAAGAGAGAAGAUGGAAAGAAAAGAGUCAGAGUAAUGAUUAGGGUUUCGAUGUAAAAUUGGGGAUGGGAUAGAUGGG
rnacentral:lncRNA from 1 species